rnacentral:tRNA from 1 species
AAUUAAUGAGCUUGAUAAAGCAUUUGUUUUGAAAACUUAAGAAAGAAUUUAAAUAUUCUAUUAAUUU